AGCAAGCGGAUCCCCUUCGGGGGUGAAGCUUGUGGAACGAGCGGCGGACGGGUGAGUAACACGUGGGCAACCUGCCUGUAAGACCGGAAUAACCCCGGGAAACCGGGGCUAAUGCCGGGUAACACCUACCUUCGCAUGAAGGAAGGUUAAAAGAUGGCUUCUUGCUAUCACUUACAGAUGGGCCCGCGGCGCAUUAGCUAGUUGGUGAGGUAACAGCUCACCAAGGCGACGAUGCGUAGCCGACCUGAGAGGGUGAUCGGCCACACUGGGACUGAGACACGGCCCAGACUCCUACGGGAGGCA
rnacentral:rRNA from 1 species